UCAGUUCAGUUUCAACAUCAACAUGUUCUCUGCAGCUCUGAUACUGCUGCUGGCAGCUGGAUCCUGUGUGAACAGUAUUGAUCUCAUCCAGCCAGACACGAUGGUUGUGCAGCCUGGACAGUCUUUGACCAUCACCUGUCAGGUCUCUGGUUAUUCUUUGACUGAUAGCAGCUAUGCAACAGGUUGGAUCAGACAGUGUGAAGGAAAACCAAUGGACUGGAUUUUACAUCGAUUUGGAGGAGGAGACCUUCACCAAAAUAAUGCUCUGAAGAACAAGUUCCUUUGCUACACACAAACUUCAUCGGUGAAAUGAGCAGGACAGA